UAAUACGAACUGUGCGAACGUUAUUCGGAAUCACUGGGCUUAAAGGGUGCGUAGGCGGCUGCCUAAGUCAGGUGUGAAAUCUCUCGGCUCAACCGGGAAACUGCGCUUGAUACUGGGCGGCUCGAGUGAGGUAGGGGUGUGUGGAACUUCCGGUGGAGCGGUGAAAUGUGUAGAUAUCGGAAGGAACGCCAGCAGCGAAAGCGGCACACUGGGCCUUUUCUGACGCUGAGGCACGAAAGCCAGGGGAGCGAACGGGAUUAGAUACCCCGGUAGUCCUGGCCGUAAACACUGAACACUCGAGGAGUAUGGUCGCAAGGCUG
rnacentral:rRNA from 1 species